AGUUCACUCACUGUGUGCUGUGGCGAUGGCCACUAGAAAGGCUGUCUUUAGAGUCACCAUUUUUAGAGAUGCUAAGCCCAAAGGGCUCUAGAGUCAAGGCUGAAAGGACAAGAGAAAUGCUCCAUUGGGAAAUAGGCCAUCUAACAGGUGGAUAUAGGUUAUUCAGGCCUUUUAUGAAGUUCUUACAGCUUGGUAGUGUGAAGAGACCUUGCAUCAUGUGGGUGUUGCAGUGCACUCCCCAUCCAGUCAGGGAGGCAUCCAUCGUGACCCAGAUUUUUGGCACAGAUAAUUGGAAGUGUACCCCCUGUAACAUGUGGUGUUCAUUCGUCCACCAGGUCAGUGAACGUAGGAUCUGAAAAGGCAUCACACGCAGAUGGUUCUGACUGUCUACAUUGGGCUCGAAGACUGACAGAAACCACAACUGCAGUUUCUGCAUCUUCAGUCUUGUGAAUAGAACUGUUGACUUGCAGGAUGCCAUGAGCUCCAACAGUCUUUGGUUGUUAUGGACCCGUUGUUCCGGCUGAGCUUGGAAUUCCAGGACCAACUCCUUGAUGGUUUUGUAGUAGUCCCUUGGCAGGGGUGGUGUGUCGUUGUGCGGACGUGGAGGAUAUAGUGCAGUUGAUGACAAGGGAGUUCAGAAGGGGAUGCUUUAAUAGGAACUCAUGAGGAACCAAUUCAACAAGGAACUGGAGCAACCAGAGGUGUCAUUGCUAUGGUAGUCGAAAAGGAACUGAUGAAGCAUGUCCAGCCCGCCUUUUCUACUUCCACGCUGAGCACGUGGGGGCACAGUCUGGAUGCCGAGAGGAGCACUCGGCCGCAAGGUGCCUACACAGGCUCAGUACCCAUUCUUAUGUGUUAUAAUGGAUCACAAUCCAGAUCUGAAAUAUCACUGAAUUGUACUUGGAAAUUCACACACACACUAGCCCACAUGCUGCACGGACUUACAAGGGCAGUGCUGAUCUGUCUGCACUGCUGUGGGUGUCUAACCAAGCACUGGGAGUCUUGUACUGUUUCGCAAGAGCAUGAAUACUUCAAGUAGC